CUCCUAAAUGUCCUAGGCUGCACGCGCACUACACUGACACAUUCAACGAGUCUGAUUGCCUUUACGGCAACCUAUCUUGAAGAGGAUGGGAAAUCUUUUGAACUUGUGUCGUGAUGAGGAUAGAUGAUUGCAAUUAUUCUCCUUGAAUGAGGAAUGCCUAGUAGGCGCAAGUCAUCAGCUUGCACUGAUUACGUCCCUGCCAUUUAUACACACCGCCCGUCGUUGCUACCGAUUGGCUGAUGGAUAGAGCUUGGAGGAGGUUACUAGUUCCCGAUUCGGGUUCUAGACUAUCAAAUCUAAGCAAUGUUUAUCAGCUAGAGGAAGCAAAAGUCGUAACA
rnacentral:rRNA from 1 species